rnacentral:rRNA from 1 species
ACGGCCGUACCAUGCUGAAUAUACCGGUUCUCGUUAGAUCACCGAAGUCAAGCAUCAUUGGGCGCGGUCAGUACUUGGGUGGGUGACCACCUGAGAAUACCGCGUGCCGUU